AUGCCUAAUUAUUCUUAUAUUGUUUAUGACCGUGUACCUACUAACAAUAAAAUUAAUUAUGGACUAUCUACAUCAGUUUAGAAAUCAUAAUCAUUUUGGCGCCAUUUCUAAGAGGUUGGAGAUAAUAACAUAACCUCACCGGUGAAUUAUCAUUUCGUAUUGUUAUGCGAAUGCGAAUGUAUGGUAAUCCGUAUUCCGUUGUUAUCAUUAUGUUUAAGUUUCUAUACUGCAUUUUCGAUUUCGGUACACAAAUUUGUUUAUUCAUUAAAUUCUAUAACAAAAAUGUGCGUGAUUUGUGUUAAUACCGUUCGUUUUGCCUUUUCAAUUGAAACAAAAUCGAUAAUUCGUUUAGUGCGCGCCAAAUACAUUAAAACUAAUAGUUUUAAUAACGACUGAAGUGAUUGAUUGCAUCGUUUUUAAAAUUUUUUUUUGUGUUUUGUGAAUCGAUUUAUACGACAUGUGAACAUUGUUAACUGAGUUAAUCGUCGUUAAAACUCUUUACGCUUAAGUAAAAUCAAACAAUGUUAAAACAUGUGAUCCAUUUUUUUUUAUCAGAAGAAAUAAAAUUUAAAAUUUUUUCAAAAUAUCUAAUAUUCAAACUAAUUGUAAUUUUGUUAAUAUUUAAAUAAUAUAGGUUAACUACUAAGUGAUUCAAAAUUAAUUCCAUUUAAUUUGUAUACAUAGGUACCUAUUGUAGGUAUUGUAGUUUUUUUAAAUGUAUUUUUAAUAAUUUCUUUUAGUUGAACAUUUUACAUGCGCACUACCUUCCCAUUGAAAUUGUUUACAAACCUUUUUUCUUAAAUUUUAAUAAAUGUGCAUUUGUAUUGCCUUGUGAUUGGUCACAAUAUUUUUGUAAUAAUUCAGUUUUGAUUUAAGUACCUAGUACUGUUGUAAUUUUGAAGUUUAUAAUAUUGUUCAUAAAUAUUAAUAGGUUCUUAAUAGUGAUUCCGGUAGGUUCAGAAACAUUUUAUAUACAUACCAAUGUAUUAAGCUGAAAAUGUUAAAAUUAUUUUAUUCAAUAAUAUGUUAAAUGGAUCUACUAAAUUACCUAGUUAAAAUAUUUUUAAAUUACUUGAGUGAAUUGUGAAUUGUUUUAUUCAACGUAAUCAAUUGGACGUACAUAAUAUGCUGACAGUGAUUAAAUGGAUUACCUACUUUUGUAACUUAACUGGUAAGAUAUACUAUUUAUAUUUAAAAAUUGAAAAGUAAAUUAUUAGGUAUUAUACUUAUUUAAGAUAUUUUAAUACAGUGAAAAUAGUAUCUAUUACAAAAAGAUUAAAAUUGAAAACAUUAUUUUAAAAUAUACCGAAGACAUUAAUUAUUAUUUAAAUAUAUUAUAAAUUAAAUUAGGUAAAUACAUACUGGUAUAUAUUGGUAAAUACAUACUGGUAUAUAUUGGUAAAUAAUUAUUUUACAUAACUUUCAUCCUUAAUGCAUUCAUUCGUUUCAUUCUUCCCAUUAUGCCAUGAUAUAAUGUUUGGUGCAUUACCUUGGCACCAACCUUACAAAAUACUCAAUACUCAUAAUUUCAAUCAUGUAAUAUUGUGUACUUUAUUUUGUACAACUAAACAAAUUAAAUAUUGUUUUACCCUUAAAUUCAAUUUCAUCUUAUAGAUUAUCUUGUACAACAACUUUGGAAUUUCUGUGUCUGAUUAAAUAACAAGUUAUUUAAAACCUCUAAGAAAAACCAUUAUAAGGUAUAAUUGUAUAAUUUUAGCUGAGAGUUCAGAAUUUUUCGGUAGUAUAUAUUUUAAUAAAUUAGUUGAAUACGUGGAUAUAUAUUAUGAAAAUAUACAUUAGGGUGCUAGUUAUGUUUGAAGUUGAACAAUUUAAGUAAUGCCAACUAAAAAUUUGUAUCAAUUGAACCCAUUCUUGAGAAAUGAAGAAAAAAAUAUGUAUAGCUUAUAUAUUGCUUAUUUUUGAAAAAUUCUUAGUUUUAGUUUUUUGCAAAAAUCUUCUGAAAUUAGAAAAACAAAAAUAGUUAUUAUUGUACUAUAUUACUGAAAAAUAUUUAUAACUAAUAUUUUUUUUCAAAAUAUCCUCUUUCUUGUUAAAUUAAAGAAAAUACAUUUCCAAACUGGUAAAAUAAAUAGGGGGCGAAUUGUAUAGUUGUUUUAUAAUAAUAAAAUUAACAUAAUUAAACAGAUCAUUACAGUUUUGUUUUUUUUCAAGAAUGUUUAAUGUUGGUUUAAGAUAUUUUUAACGAUAAUUUUGUAUGGUCUGGAACAUAAAACAACAUAAUUUAAACUAAACGAUUAGAUAAAAUUAUUUCAUUAAAUUAGUAGGUAGGUAUUUGUGAUAUCCUUGAUAUUUACUUGUAAUACAAAUUAAAACUAAGUUCUUCAUCUUUAAUUAUUUUUGAUAUAAUUCUUCCUUUUAUUUUAAAUAUUUUAAACAUUUUUUGAGACAUCCCCAAUAAGUUUAAAUUUAUGACUUAGACUCUGAGUAUAGCGAAAAAUGUAUUAGUUUAACAAAAAUAUUAAUUUUUUUCUUUAUGUGAACAUUUUCUACCAGAAAUUUUAUUCCAAUGUAUACAAUGUACCAGGUUAUUCAUUUAAGUAGGUACAUUCAUUAUCUCGGAAAGUAUUAACUUUUUCUGGAAUUUGCUUUCUAGAACAUUUAAGAAACAAUUUGCUCCACAAUUUUAUAUUUGUUAUUUUUUGUCACCAAUAUUUUUAAGAGUAAAACAACUAUCUACUUUUUAUUUUCAAAUGGCAAUCUAUAUUAAAGUCCAUAAAUAGAUUGAGUAUUGGUUAAAAUAAAUUUUAGUGUUGACAUUUUUUAUUUCUGUUGAUCCGUUGACAAGAUAUUCAUUAGUGUGGCGGUACGACCCACAGCGUGUUAAUAAUGCACCACUACUCUCCUCCAACACAAAAUUAAAAGUGGUAUAUCUUGUCAACGGCUUGGCAGAAAUAAAAAAAUUCAACACUAAAAUUUAAAUUAACUUAUACUUAAUCUAUUUAUGGACUUUUUAAUAUAGAUUACCAUUUGAAAAUCAAAAGUAGGUAGCUGUUUUACCUCCAGAAAGGGUUACAAAAAAUAACACAAAUAUAAAAUUGUGGAUAAUGUUGAUAAAGCAUCACUAUCAACUGAAUUCCCCUCAGAAUCUUUUUUAGUAAUCAAUGGUUUAUUGUUGCUUAUAGAUACAAAUUAAUUUCCCUUCUAAUCCUACGUUCCCAACUAUUCACUAACAAAGGUGGCUGCACCCAUGUCCUUUUAAUUAGUUCAUUUGGAGUUCAGUCUUUUUUUCUGUUUCUUUGGCGUCUUCAAGUGUUGUAUUAGUAAUAAGUAAGUAAUUUAAGUUUCUGAGCUCGUUUAUGUUAUCAGGUGUUUAACAUUUAAAAUUUGGAAUUCUUUAUAAUUUUCAAUCUAAUUUAGAAAUAAGAAUCAACAAACAAAACAAUGAGCAAUGCAUGGUUCCUAUGCUAUAUGUUAAUUCUGAAAAUAGGUAUCAGAGAAUUUUAAAUUUGUUAUGAAAAUUCAAGGAAAUGAGAAAAAAAUUCUGGAAAAAAUAUUUAAGUAUCAAAUCAUAAUUAUUGAUUUAUAUAUAUAUAUGGAGGAGUAAAUUACUAAUUAAUAUUAUGUACCUCAUAUUUCAGAAUAUUAUGAUAUACCCAAUGAUAACUAUAAUUUUCUGUAAAAUUACCAAUGAUUUCCAUGAUAAUGAAACAUUUUUACUCUGAUUUCCUUUAGUGAUUUAUUCUCGGUAUAACUGUGUUCCUUGUGUUUUUUUAAAUUGUAUUUGUUGAAAAAAAAUAGUCUGAUCCUAAAUUUUAGUUUACUCUAAUGCAUGUUGGUGCUCAAAGUCUCAACCAAGUCAAAUAAAUUAUUCAUCUUAUCAAUGAAAACAUUUUCCUUUUUUUUUUUUGUGUAUUGUUUAGAUAAAAAUCUUAAAUUUUGCAUACAGCAUUUAAAAUUUUUCUCUACACUUAUGUAGUUCUUGAGUUGGAAUCAGGGUUUUUCUCUAAAAUAUUAAACACUCAUCUAUAACUAUUGAAGUGUUUCAAUGUUGAAUUCUAAUAUUAUAUAUUAAAACUUUCAAGCGACUUCUUGUUUGGUAAUUUACUACCCGUGAUCUAGUGUUCCAUAGUACUAAUGAGAUUAAUGUGUUUAUGUAAUGGUAUUUUAAACUAUUUAUAAUAUAAAAUACUAUAAUAAGGGGUUAUUUUGAUAAUUUUCCAAUGGUGUUUUAUUGUAGUUUUCAUUUUACUAACAGUAUGGUGAAGAAAUAUUAUUUUUUAAUUGCUCUACAUCUAAUUUGUCUACAAUAAUCAGUAGAAAAAAUUUAUUUUUGAUAAUUUUAAUACAUUAUUUUUGAAGCUAAUUGUAGCUUUACACGUUAGAUUAUAUACGGGAUUGAUUUGCUAUAUACCCCCUUAUUUUUAAUUAAAUCAUAUGGUUUAUCCCCUGAACUAUCAAUGCUGUCAAAAACAAAAUUACUGAAUGAAAGAUUUAAUUUAGAUUGGUAAAUACCUAUCUAAUUAUGUAAUUAAAUAAGUAAAAAUUAUUAAAUAAACAAAUAAGUUAGAGUAAAUUAACAAAUAAAUUAUGAUUUAUUUAAUUUAACAAUAUAAUAGACAACUAUAUCAGUGUACAUUUUUUGAUAGAAUUUCAAUCAAAAUUUAUUGAAAUUAAUAUAUUAAUUUAAUUAGGUGAUUAUUAAAUAGACAUAAGAUUAAAAAAUAGAAUUAAAACAACAGAAAAGCAUUCUUUAUUAGUUUAAUUUUUGUUUGUCGGAAUUUGGUAACAUAAUCUCAGUUUAUUUAAACAUUAUCAAAUGUAUGCGGUAAUAUAUAAUAUACUUAAUACAUAAUCCAAUGCUAUAUAAUAAUAUAAUGUUUAGAAUUUGUAGUUUUUUAAAGUAACCCCAGGUGUAAUAUCAAACUAAUUCCACGACAAAAUAAUGCAUAUACAUUUUUAUGUUCAUAAUAAUAACAUGUUAAACAAUUCAUUUCAUUUGCAGAGAUACCUUAAAGUUGUUAACUUGAUUUAAAUUAUUGUAGAAAAAUAUAUAAUUAUGAAAUUUCCACAGAACUUCAAUUUUGAAAAUAAAAAUUUGUUUAUAAUAGCUAAAUGAUAACCGAAUAAAAACAAAUGAUCACUGAUAAUAAUUUUUUAUCAAUAGAUUUUUGACCAGUUGUACUAAACGCCAAAAUAUUAAAACCGAAAAUUAAUUUAUGUUAUCAACUAUUAGUACCACUGAUCUUAGUCUUAUCUUCUGAGACCAUGGUUUGUACCAUUAUUAUGAAAAAUAAUAUUAAUUUCAAAUUAAUCUCACGUUUUAAAUUUGUAUUCAAUAAAUUUCUUACAGGUUACAGCACUUCUCAAAAUGAGACAAAAAAUUAGAAAAAUAUUCUGUUUAUCUAAUUAACCGAGACUAGUUAUUUUACUAGUUAAAAAGCAAAUUCAUAAAAUAGUGUUAUUUUAAUUAAAUAAUCUAUAUUCAAAAAACGUUAAAUUUGAUGUCUUAAUUUUAUUUCCUGAUAAGUCUUUUUGAAUUAUAAAUUAAUUUAUUGUAGGUAUCCAGUAAAAGCUGAAUUGCUGUUUAAUUAUACUAUCUAAUGGUUUUUUCCCCAUAAAUGUUUAAAAUAAUUUGUGUUGGUUGUUCGAAUUAUAAAAUACAUUAGUUAACUUUUGCUUUAGAUCCUAAGUGUAGUGAAAUAGAUAGUUUUACAAUAAUAUUUAUAUUUUGGCCAUCCUAUUUUCUUAAGAAGCCAAGAACAAUCAUCACAGUGGUGAUAACUGCUUUUAUUAAAUUGUACAAAAUAAAAUACACAAUACUGCACAGUUGAAAUUUGUUAAAAGUUUUAGGUCUUUAUUGCUGGAGUAAAAUUCUAUGAUAAUAAAAAAUGUGUACACUAAUUGGCGUUAGUGAUCUAUCUUCUGGGUAGGGUUUAUGUUAAAUUACAAUUUUAAGAAAAGUACCAACAUUGGACAAAUUUAAUAUGAUAUACAUUUCUGUUAUCGUACAGCAGAUCUUGCAUAAAUAUCAAUAGAAUUUGUCUCAGUGAGUAUCUAAUACCGAGAAUAGUGAAACUGAUUGUUAAAAUAUGUAUACAACAUAUAAUAUUAUAUACUUUUAUAAUUUUUUUCCUGUAUUUUUAAACUAUACAGUCUGAUUAUAAAAAGACAUAGACUUAUAGAAUAUCCUCAUGAAUUGUGUGUGUACCUAGGGAUAUUGAUAAUUGUCUAGAAUAUAUUUAUAUUAAAUAUUGUUUUUGAAUUUAUUUCCGUAUACCUACUUCAUUGCUUAGAUGGGUAUUUAUAUAAUAUAUCUAAACCAUAAUUAAUAUUAUCUACUUGAUUGAAUGUUUUAUAUUUCUUUUUAUUACAAAUUUAGUUAUAAUAAAACAAAUAUGCUAUGAUUAUUUUUCAAAACUUGGAAACUUAAUACAAAUUUUGUUGGAGUUACAUUUUUAGACCUAUUUGGUUAUCUUUGCUAUUAUUUGUAAACCCUAAGUUUACCAAGGAAACCAAAAAGCAGUACAAAAUUCAAUAAUUUUGGAAUAUAUUUAAAAUCUAACAUUUAAGUGGGUGCACAAAGAAAAUGUCAAGGGAAAUUAUUAAAUAAUUUUGAUAAAUUGGCAUGUACCUAUUUAUAAUUGUUUGGUUCUAGUACCAUUUAUGUAGGUAUAAUAUUUAAAAAAUACAAAAAUUAACUAACUUACUUAUAUACAUAUAUUUUUUUUUCAGGUGAUGUUCUAAAACCCAGUUAUUGUACAGUUACAAAUAAGGUAAGUGGCUAAAAUUAAGGAAACUGAUAGGUCAGUGGUGUACUUAUGCUGAAGUACUUAUUAAUAUUAUUAAGUAGAUACUUGUAUAUUUUGUACUCGUUUUAUGUAUAUAUAUAUAAUACUGAAAUAGGUAAUUACUAUGUAUCAUAAUACUUAUUAUUUUAUUAUAUUUAUUUGACAAAUUCCUAUUUAAUAUGUAUAUUAUAUAGUUUUAAUUAAAAAAUUAAUAUACAAUACAUGUGUUAUAUGAUACUUAGUUCUCACCUAUUAUUAUAUUAUAUUGAGUGUAUAGUUAAUAGAAAACACUUAAUAUAAUUAAUUUUAAAUGAUUUAAUAAAUGAGUUUAUUUUCUUGUCUCUCAGAAGAUUUCAAGAUCAACAUUCAACAACCAUAAGAGGUAAAUUAUAAUUUUUUCUUCAUAGUUGGUCCAUACAAACAUAGAUUAUAUCAAACUAAACAAACAGUUAAUUUUAGAAAAUAUGUGACAUCUUAGGAUAGUGGGGGGACGGUUGCAGUCACUGAUGAAGGUAAUUUAAUGUAUACCUAUAUGCAACAAUAUAAACCAUUGCUUACAAAAAAACGAUUCUAAACGGAGUUUAGUUGUUAGUAAUGCUUUGUCAAUGAUAUAUAUGUCAUAUUAUAGUAAAAUAAUUAAAUAGGCUCUAUUUAUUUUCUUUAAUAUUAUUUGUUAAAUGUUGUAUCAAUUUCCCCAGUUUUUCACAUUUUCUGAGAAAACUCUGGGGAAAAUAUAAAAACACAUCUCUUUAAAGUACCUCCCCAAUAAAAUUUCCUUUCAGAAAUAUUUCUAUCAUUAAAAGUUGGAGCAAAAUUGCUAGUAGAAAAGUUGUCCACAGAAAAAAAAAUUAACAUCUUUGUAAAACCAUUAGCUUCUUCACUCCACUCAGAAUCUAAAACAUGUUUAGAUGUUAAAUUUGAAACAAUUUAUUCGUAUCUCUAAAAGUUAAUUUUGAAUAGUGAUUUCCCUAAUGUAUGAUUUAAAACAUAUUUAAACAUGUGAGUAAAAACUGUUCAUAAAAAUUUUCAAGGGAUCAGUAAAAAUUUGUCAUAAUAAUCAAUAGUUGUUAUAACCUGAAUGUUAAACCAAUUCAAAAACUUGAUAUUAUGUAAUAUAAUAAUACAAGUAUUUGCAUUAAAAUUAAUAGGUACAUAUUAAAAUAAUUUGUCAUCUUAGUUGUAUUACUUUUAUUUUUGGUAUGCUAAUAUCAUUUUAUUUUUAAAAAUUUUUUUUUGAACUAACAUUAUUCCAAGUCAUAAUUUAAUAUUUAUUUUAUUGCAUUGGGCAAUGAAGAAAUUAGUAAAUCUUCAUUGGGAGGAGUAUCUUCUUUUUCACUGUUGUCAUCUUUCUUGAGUUGGUUAUUUAAUAAAGAAAUAAUUUUUCGAUCAAUUAAUUGCUCAGAAAUUAGUAUAUCAUAAUGUCAAAGUUAACAUAACUAUCCGCAUUUGUAAACCCCUUUUUGAAUUGCAUUAUUGAAACCAGUAUGAUGAAAAAAGUUUUGAUUUGUACUCUAAAACUUUUCUAAGGUUAAAAAAAAAUCAGUAAAUUUGUUUUUAUAUUAUUGAUUACCCUUUUAAUUAUUUUUAAUUUUUGAUAUAUGUAAUACAGUCAUUACUGAUAAAUUAUUUGUCCAAUAUUACCUAAAAAUCUGUAUAAUGAUUACUCAUUAUGUAGACGUCAAAAUAACCAAUACAAAUUAGUAUGUACAAUAUAGAAGUUUGGCCAUUACCUAAAAUUUAACGCCAUUACACCCAGUUUGUUACUAUAACCGAUGUUAUAAUAAAUAGUUUCUACUAUAUUAACAUUAUUUCUCUACACAUCCAUAAAUGGUAAAUGCUGCUAUUAUUAUUUUUUUUAUCUGAACAAAUAAUUAUAAAUAAGAAAAUAUUUUUUUUGAUUUAUAUUAACCAAAUAAUUAACUGUUUGUGUUUGAUUUUAAUUAUAGAAAUUAAAAUAUCUUUUUUUUAAAUUUUAAAAUGUUAUACAUUAUAUUAAUACAAUAAGAAUAUGUGGUGAAUGAUGGAAAAACAAGAUAUUGAGGUGGAUGAAAUCACCAUUAUUUAUGAGGAGUUUUUUUUUUUUUUUUGCUGCUUUACUAUAAUAUUGUUUGAAUUUUUGUUUUAAUUUAUUAAAAUAAAUUUUUAUAGUCGGAGUACUUAAUUCAAAACUCAUAAGUUUCCCUACUACAUUAAUCAAAAACUAAACUAGGUAUAAACUUAGAUGAUUCUUAAUAUUUGUCAAAAAUGUAUAGUAGCUAUUUUUUCAGUGCUAUUUCUCUCAAGAUUUAUUUAUCCAUAAUUAUUUUCAAUAUUUCUAAAAAUAAGUCCUAAAACCAAAUAUUAAGAUUUAACCAUGUUAAAUAUUAAAUUUCUAUAAAUGAAAUUAAAUUAGAAUUAAUUAAAUCUGCUAAAUAAUCAAUGACUUCUAAAUUUCCUGUUACAGUUAAAUGUUUCAUGAACUAUUUAUUUUUACAAAAAUUACCUAUGUGAACAAUUUUUGGAAUCAAUAUGUAUAUUUUAAAAUUCUACAUUAUCUUUAUUUUUUCUCUAUUUGGGGCGAAACCCCACUACCUACUUUUAAUUUUUAAAUACUAAUUCAUAUUAAAAAUUCCAUAAAUAUAUGCAAUUUUAGUAUAAAUACAUUUUGGUGGUGGAAUUGUUACUUUCCAUUAACCAGUUGACAAAAUAUUCCACUUUUAAGUUUAGGUUGGGGAAAGUGGUGGAGUGUGAUUUGAGUAGUGGCUACUAUCGUCACUACAUACCUGCAUUUUUAACGAUUUAUUUUUCUUAUUAUUAAAAUUGUAUAUUAAUAUACAGUUUUAAUUUUUGUUAAAUAUAUAGAUACUAUGUAAUAUGCAUUCAUGUUUAUAUACAUUUUAGUUUUAUUUAUAUAAGAAUUUUAGUAUAAUAGAGUAGAAUAUUUACAGGAAUAAAACUGAAUUAUUAAAGUCAUGUGGUCGUAAAGGUAAGUCGAGAGACAAGAAAAUAUGUAUCAAUUAAAAUAACUGAUAACUUGACUUGUAUAAUUAUACAUACAUAGUAUAUAAAUAUGUUUACGCAAGUAAUUAUUUUCUGUACUUCUAAUUUAAGUUUCUGAUGGAUGAUAUGGAGCUAUUACUGAAUUUUAAUUAUUUUUUUUUGUACCUAAUGUAUUUCCAUUGGAAUACAUAUUUAUUAUUGAGUUAAAUGAAUAAUUGAAAUAAAUAACUGAAUUAACUAAAAUCAAUUAUUUAAUUUUGAUUUGAAUCAAUAUUAAAUUGCAUACAUAUUUAUUUAUAAACAGUUUAUCUUUGGUUACCUAUUGAAUUUGUGAAAUUUCUAAAGUGUGAUUAUUUAAAGUUAUUGUGAAUUAUUUAUUUAUGUUCAAUUUAUUUAUGAUAUUUUCUCUGCGUGGUUACAGUUUUUUUGAUUCCGCAGAAAUUAAACUGUAAAAAAAUAAGGUAAGUAGUUACUUUUUUAAAUUUAUAUUUUAGUACACCAUGUAAACAUCUUAAUUUUUUUUCUAUUUUAGAAUUUAUCUAUUUACAAGUAUGCUAAUGAUAACAAUAACCAUACAAAUAUUAAAGAAGACAUCAAAACUUAAGGUAACACCAUGAUUAAUUAAUUAUUAUUUUUAAUUAUUGAAUACAUUAUAUUUUUACUAGAGGGCUGUGCUCUCUGAUCCCUACACUCGUCGACCUCAUAACUCAUAAUUACAAUUUUUUUUUUUCCUAAUAUGGAAGAUUUAAACAUCAAAACUCAGUUGUAUAAUUUAUUAUUAUUAUAAUUUAUUAUUAACUAAGUACCUAGACAUAACUUCACUUGAAGUACAAAUCUCUUAAUAAAAAAUAUUUAUCAUAAAAUUUACAUGAAUUAAAAAUUGUUUUAAAUGUUAAGACGAAAAUUUGAUCAGUAUUUAAAUACUUAAUUUUAAUGAUAUAUAAAAUUUGUAAAUUGUAUAUCUUUUAUGUAUAUAUUACAG